CCUACGGGAGGCAACAGUGGGGGAUAUUGCACAAUGGGGGGAACCCUGAUGCAGCGACGCCGCGUGGGUGAAGGAGUAUUUCGGUAUGUAAAGCCCUAUCGGCAGGGAAGAAUUUAGACGGUACCUGACUAAGAAGCCCCGGCUAACUACGUGCCAGCAGCCGCGGUAAUACGUAGGGGGCAAGCGUUAUCCGGAUUUACUGGGUGUAAAGGGAGCGUAGACGGUUAUGUAAGUCUGGAGUGAAAGCCCGGGGCCCAACCCCGGGACUGCUUUGGAAACUGUGUAACUGGAGUACAGGAGGGGCAGGCGGAAUUCCUGGUGUAGCGGUGAAAUGCGUAGAUAUCAGGAGGAACACCGGCGGCGAAGGCGGCCUGCUGGACUGAAACUGACGUUGAGGCUCGAAAGCGUGGGGAGCAAACAGGAUUAGAUACCCGGGUAGUC
rnacentral:rRNA from 1 species